AGUGAACGCUGGCGGCAGGCCUAAUACAUGCAAGUCGAACGGCAGCACAGCAGAGCUUGCUCUGUGGGUGGCGAGUGGCGGACGGGUGAGGAAUACAUGGGAAUCUGCCCAGUCGUGGGGAUAACGUAGGGAAACUUACGCUAAUACCGCAUGCGCCCUUCGGGGAAAGCCGGGGACCUUCGGGCCUGGCGCGAUUGGAUGAGCCCAUGUCGGAUUAGCUAGUUGGCGGGGUAAUGGCCCACCAAGGCGACGAUCCGUAGCUGGUCUGAGAGGAUGAUCAGCCACACUGGAACUGAGACACGGUCCAGACUCCUACGGGAGGCAGCAGUAGGGAAUAUUGGACAAUGGGCGCAAGCCUGAUCCAGCCAUGCCGCGUGAGUGAAGAAGGCCCUCGGUUGUAAAGCUCUUUUGUCCGGAAAGAAAAGCGCCGGGUUAAUACCCUGGUGUCCUGACGGUACCGGAAGAAUAAGCACCGGCUAACUUCGUGCCAGCAGCCGCGGUAAU
rnacentral:rRNA from 1 species